rnacentral:rRNA from 1 species
GGUUAAGCGACUAAGCGUACACGGUGGAUGCCCCGGCAGUCAGAGGCGAUGAAGGACGUGCUAAUCUGCGAUAAGCGUCGGUAAGGUGAUAUGAACCGUUAUAACCGGCGAUUUCCGAAUGGGGAAACCCAGUGUGUUUCGACACACUAUCAUUAACUGAAUCCAUAGGUUAAUGAGGCGAACCGGGGGAACUGAAACAUCUAAGUACCCCGAGGAAAAGAAAUCAACCGAGAUUCCCCCAGUAGCGGCGAGCGAACGGGGAGGAGCCCAGAGCCUGAAUCAGUGUGUGUGUUAGUGGAAGCGUCUGGAAAGGCGCGCGAUACAGGGUGACAGCCCCGUACACAAAAAUGCACAUACUGUGAGCUCGAUGAGUAGGGCGGGACACGUGGUAUCCUGUCUGAAUAUGGGGGACCAUCCUCCAAGGCUAAAUACUCCUGACUGACCGAUAGUGAACCAGUACCGUGAGGGAAAGGCGAAAAGAACCCCGGCGAGGGGAGUGAAAAAGAACCUGAAACCGUGUACGUACAAGCAGUGGGAGCCUCUUUUAUGGGGUGACUGCGUACCUUUUGUAUAAUGGGUCAGCGACUUAUAUUCUGUAGCAAGGUUAACCGAAUAGGGGAGCCGAAGGGAAACCGAGUCUUAACUGGGCGUUAAGUUGCAGGGUAUAGACCCGAAACCCGGUGAUCUAGCCAUGGGCAGGUUGAAGGUUGGGUAACACUAACUGGAGGACCGAACCGACUAAUGUUGAAAAAUUAGCGGAUGACUUGUGGCUGGGGGUGAAAGGCCAAUCAAACCGGGAGAUAGCUGGUUCUCCCGAAAGCUAUUUAGGUAGCGCCUCGUGAAUUCAUCUCCGGGGGUAGAGCACUGUUUCGGCAAGGGGGUCAUCCCGACUUACCAACCCGAUGCAAACUGCGAAUACCGGAGAAUGUUAUCACGGGAGACACACGGCGGGUGCUAACGUCCGUCGUGAAGAGGGAAACAACCCAGACCGCCAGCUAAGGUCCCAAAGUCAUGGUUAAGUGGGAAACGAUGUGGGAAGGCCCAGACAGCCGGGAUGUUGGCUUAGAAGCAGCCAUCAUUUAAAGAAAGCGUAAUAGCUCACUGGUCGAGUCGGCCUGCGCGGAAGAUGUAACGGGGCUAAACCAUGCACCGAAGCUGCGGCAGCGACGCUUAUGCGUUGUUGGGUAGGGGAGCGUUCUGUAAGCCUGUGAAGGUGUACUGUGAGGUAUGCUGGAGGUAUCAGAAGUGCGAAUGCUGACAUAAGUAACGAUAAAGCGGGUGAAAAGCCCGCUCGCCGGAAGACCAAGGGUUCCUGUCCAACGUUAAUCGGGGCAGGGUGAGUCGACCCCUAAGGCGAGGCCGAAAGGCGUAGUCGAUGGGAAACAGGUUAAUAUUCCUGUACUUGGUGUUACUGCGAAGGGGGACGGAGAAGGCUAUGUUACUGGGCGACGGUUGUCCCGGUUUAAGCGUGUAGGCUGGUUUUCCGGGCAAAUCCGGAAAAUCAAGGCUGAGGCGUGAUGACGAGGCACUACGGUGCUGAAGCAACAAAUGCCCUGCUUCCGGGAAAGCCUCUAAGCAUCAGGUAACAUCAAAUCGUACCCCAAACCGACACAGGUGGUCAGGUAGAGAAUACCAAGGCGCUUGAGAGAACUCGGGUGAAGGAACUAGGCAAAAUGGUGCCGUAACUUCGGGAGAAGGCACGCUGAUAUGUAGGUGAAGCGACUUGCUCGUGGAGCUGAAAUCAGUCGAAGAUACCAGCUGGCUGCAACUGUUUAUUAAAAACACAGCACUGUGCAAACACGAAAGUGGACGUAUACGGUGUGACGCCUGCCCGGUGCCGGAAGGUUAAUUGAUGGGGUUAGCGGUAACGCGAAGCUCUUGAUCGAAGCCCCGGUAAACGGCGUACGUAACUAUAACGGUCCUAAGGUAGCGAAAUUCCUUGUCGGGUAAGUUCCGACCUGCACGAAUGGCGUAAUGAUGUACGGAGCUGUCUCCACCCGAGACUCAGUGAAAUUGAACUCGCUGUGAAGAUGCAGUGUACCCGCGGCAAGACGGAAAGACCCCGUGAACCUUUACUAUAGCUUGACACUGAACAUUGAGCCUUGAUGUGUAGGAUAGGUGGGAGGCUUUGAAGUGUGGACGCCAGUCUGCAUGGAGCCGACCUUGAAAUACCACCCUUUAAUGUUUGAUGUUCUAACGUUGGCCCCUGAUCGGGGUUGCGGACAGUGUCUGGUGGGUAGUUUGACUGGGGCGGUCUCCUCCUAAAGAGUAACGGAGGAGCACGAAGGUUGGCUAAUCCUGGUCGGACAUCAGGAGGUUAGUGCAAUGGCAUAAGCCAGCUUGACUGCGAGCGUGACGGCGCGAGCAGGUGCGAAAGCAGGUCAUAGUGAUCCGGUGGUUCUGAAUGGAAGGGCCAUCGCUCAACGGAUAAAAGGUACUCCGGGGAUAACAGGCUGAUACCGCCCAAGAGUUCAUAUCGACGGCGGUGUUUGGCACCUCGAUGUCGGCUCAUCACAUCCUGGGGCUGAAGUAGGUCCCAAGGGUAUGGCUGUUCGCCAUUUAAAGUGGUACGCGAGCUGGGUUUAGAACGUCGUGAGACAGUUCGGUCCCUAUCUGCCGUGGGCGCUGGAGAACUGAGGGGGCUGCUCCUAGUACGAGAGGACCGGAGUGGACGCAUCACUGGUGUUCGGGUUGUCAUGCCAAUGGCACUGCCCGGUAGCUAAAUGCGGAAGAGAUAAGUGCUGAAAGCAUCUAAGCACGAAACUUGCCCCGAGAUGAGUUCUCCCUGAGACUUUAAGUCUCCUGAAGGAACGUUGAAGACGACGACGUUGAUAGGCCGGGUGUGUAAGCGCAGCGAUGCGUUGAGCUAACCGGUACUAAUGAACCGUGAGGCUUAACCUU